rnacentral:rRNA from 1 species
AGUGAACGCUGGCGGUAGGCCUAACACAUGCAAGUCGAACGGCAGCACAGUAAGAGCUUGCUCUUACGGGUGGCGAGUGGCGGACGGGUGAGGAAUACAUCGGAAUCUACUUUUUCGUGGGGGAUAACGUAGGGAAACUUACGCUAAUACCGCAUACGACCUACGGGUGAAAGCAGGGGAUCUUCGGACCUUGCGCGAUUGAAUAAGCCGAUGUCGGAUUAGCUAGUUGGCGGGGUAAAGGCCCACCAAGGCGACGAUCCGUAGCUGGUCUGAGAGGAUGAUCAGCCACACUGGAACUGAGACACGGUCCAGACUCCUACGGGAGGCAGCAGUGGGGAAUAUUGGACAAUGGGCGCAAGCCUGAUCUAGCCAUACCGCGUGGGUGAAGAAGGCCUUCGGGUUGUAAAGCCCUUUUGUUGGGAAAGAAAAGCAGCAGGUUAAUACCCCGCUGUUCUGACGGUACCCAAAGAAUAAGCACCGGCUAACUUCGUG